GCCUGGCUGGCCCAUUUGGAAGAACGUGAGACUCUUGAUCUCAGGGUUGUGAGUUUGAGUCCCAUGUUGGGUG
rnacentral:tRNA from 1 species